rnacentral:rRNA from 1 species
CCUACGGGAGGCAGCAGUGGGGAAUAUUGCACAAUGGGCGCAAGCCUGGUGCAGCCAUGCCGCGUGUAUGAAGAAGGCCUUCGGGUUGUAAAGUACUUUCAGCGGGGAGGAAGGGAGUGAGGUUAAUAACCUUAUUCAUUGACGUUACCCGCAGAAGAAGCACCGGCUAACUCCGUGCCAGCAGCCGCGGUAAU